rnacentral:rRNA from 1 species
CCUACGGGAGGCAGCAGUGGGGGAUAUUGCACAAUGGGGGAAACCCUGAUGCAGCGAUGCCGCGUGUGGGAAGACGGUCCUCUGGAUUGUAAACCACUGUCCCCAGGGACGAAGAUGACGGUACCUGGGGAGGAAGCUCCGGCUAACUACGUGCCAGCAGCCGCGGUAAUACGUAGGGAGCAAGCGUUGUCCGGAAUUACUGGGUGUAAAGGGAGCGUAGGCGGGAUGGCAAGUUGGCUGUUAAAUCUACCGGCUCAACUGGUAGUCGCACUCGAAACUGCUAUUCUUGAGUGAAGUAGAGGCAUGCGGAAUGCCUAGUGUAGCGGUGAAAUGCGUAGAUAUUAGGCAGAACACCAGUGGCGAAGGCGGCCUGCUGGGCUUUUACUGACGCUGAGGCUCGAAAGUGUGGGUAGCAAACAGGAUUAGAUACCCCGGUAGUC